UACGUAGGGUGCAAGCGUUAAUCGGAAUUACUGGGCGUAAAGCGUGCGCAGGCGGUUUUGUAAGCCAGAUGUGAAAUCCCAGGGCUUAACCUGGGAAUGGCAUUUGGGACUGCAAGGCUCGAGUGCGGCAGAGGAGACUGGAAUUCCUGGUGUAGCAGUGAAAUGCGUAGAUAUCAGGAGGAACACCGAUGGCGAAGGCAGGUCUCUGGGCUGACACUGACGCUCAUGCACGAAAGCGUGGGGAGCAAACAGG
rnacentral:rRNA from 1 species